GACCUCGUAGCUCAGCUAGUAGAGCACUUGCGGUAAUAAAGCGAGGGUGGUAUCCGUGGGUGGGUUCGAAUCCCGCCGAGGUCG
rnacentral:tRNA from 1 species